GCAGUCGAGCGGACUGAUGGGAGCUUGCUCCCUGAAGUCAGCGGCGGACGGGUGAGUAACACGUGGGUAACCUGCCUGUAAGACUGGGAUAACUCCGGGAAACCGGGGCUAAUACCGGAUAGUUCUUUUCCUCGCAUGAGGAAAAGUGGAAAGGCGGCUUCGGCUGCCACUUACAGAUGGACCCGCGGCGCAUUAGCUAGUUGGUGAGGUAACGGCUCACCAAGGCAACGAUGCGUAGCCGACCUGAGAGGGUGAUCGGCCACACUGGGACUGAGACACGGCCCAGACUCCUACGGGAGGCAGCAGUAGGGAAUCUUCCGCAAUGGACGAAAGUCUGACGGAGCAACGCCGCGUGAGUGAUGAAGGUUUUCGGAUCGUAAAGCUCUGUUGUUAGGGAAGAACAAGUGCCGUUCGAAUAGGGCGGCACCUUGACGGUACCUAACCAGAAAGCCACGGCUAACUACGUGCCAGCAGCCGCGGUAAUACGUAGGUGGCAAGCGUUGUCCGGAAUUAUUGGGCGUAAAGCGCGCGCAGGCGGUCUCUUAAGUCUGAUGUGAAAGCCCACGGCUCAACCGUGGAGGGUCAUUGGAAA
rnacentral:rRNA from 2 species